rnacentral:rRNA from 1 species
UACGUAGGGUGCGAGCGUUGUCCGGAAUUAUUGGGCGUAAAGAGCUCGUAGGCGGUUUGUCGCGUCUGCUGUGAAAUCCCGAGGCUCAACCUCGGGCUUGCAGUUGAUACGGGCAGGCUAGAGUUCGGUAGGGGAGACUGGAAUUCCUGGUGUAGCGGUGAAAUGCGCAGAUAUCAGGAGGAACACCGGUGGCGAAGGCGGGUCUCUGGGCCGGUACUGACGCUGAGGUGCGAAAGCCAGGGGAGCGAACGGG